AGCACAGACCAGUUGCUCAGUUGCAGACUUUUAUAUUUGGAACAUUCGCUUGAGUCAUCUUUGUGGGUAGUGGAGAAGGAGUGUUCUUUCGAUGGCUUUAAUCUGUGCGUUUGGCUGUGCAGCACUAUUAUUAGACUUGUCAGAGGAUUAGACGAAAUAAGCGUUUUCCAACAGGGCUGCAGUGAGUGAUGAUGAUUUUGAAGCGUGUUCAAGUCACACAGCGGCUAGACCUAAAAUCUGGUGGUGGUUCUUAAUUCGUCAGAAAUGCAAAUUCUUGGAAGCAAAUGAGAAGAACCAAGGAGGCAAAGUUUAGAGGAAUUUUGAAGAUUUAAAUUCUAGAAACUGUGUGGAUGCAGCUGCCCCAAGCGCUUGUCUUCAUGACUUCCCCACCUUGAUGGGCUAUCCCUUCAAAUCUGAUAAAGUUGCUCUCGUCAGUGUAUUUUAUCACAUCAAGGAGAAAAGUAAUCAUUUGUUAUUCACGGUCUUCAUCUCCUCCACUGUGGUGAUAUUGUGUUCCCCAAAAUAUUGUGCACCCUAAUAAACUUAUCUGGGGUCAGAGAACAGAACAGCCACUAGAUAUAGAGGCCAGAAAAUGGUGGCACACACCCCUAAAGGUUAUUCCAGCAUUCCAAAGGCAGAGAGAUCUGUCUGGAUCUCUGUGAGUUCAAAGCCACACUGGAAGCAGCCAGGCAUGGUGCCACACACCUUUAAUACCUGGAAGUGAUGGCAGGAAACAGAAAAGCAUAUAAGGCGUGAGGACCAGGAACUAGAGCCUGGUUAAGCUUUUAGGCUUCUAGCAGCAGUUCAGCUGAGAUCCAUUCUGGAUGAGGACUCAGAGGCUUCCAGUCUGAGGAAACAGAAUCAGCUGAGGAAUUGGCAAGAUUUCUGUUAUACAGCACCACCUGGAGGUGUCCAAUCCAGUUCUUACAAGAUCAUAUGACUUCAUCAGGCUUCUCUACCGUAUUUGUUUAACUCUGGACCUCCUGAAAAGGCUGUUGUCCUUAGCCUCAUUCCAGGCAGUUUCCUGCAAAUUCCAAGAGAAUAGAGAUUAUCCAUGUCACUGGCACAAAACUGUAGAGCCUUUUUCUCUUUUCCUGUUGGAGCCCAAACCAUGUGAUUUUGAUGCCUGUGACUCCGAGUCAGUAAGUGGAUAGCUUUGAAUGAUUUGCAUGCAUGUGUUGAUAAACUUUAUCCUGUAUUCUUGCUAUGUGUUUGAAGGCUGUUUUGCAAGCCUUCACCCAUUUAGAUCUAAGAGGGUAUAGAAUGAAAAACUAUCUGUGAACAGGUUUUAUGGUUUAGAGGGAAUGUUGGGUAGUCCCUGUUCUCUGUGUGCCCCAAAGCUAAGAGCAUGGACCCUCUGAGAGUAUGAAGGUAAACAUUCUUGUCAAAUGAUUAGAUCCCUGCUUGAGAUACAGUUGAAGUAGUUAUAAACCUCACAUCUUGCUUUUUAGAUUUUAGAUUGGCAGGUUAAAACAUUUGAGUAUGGUGAAUCUUGGUUAUAGAUGUUUUCCUUCCCGGGGGCAGCCAUUGUGUCCUGUUCAUUCUCCAAUGUCUUCUGUCUUCUUUGUAAUAAAUGGAGAAUCAUGGGAUGGGAUACAGGUAGGACAUGGUAUGUUAGGAUGUAUUACAGUCAUUCUCAACCUGUAGGUCACAACCCCUUGGGGGGUGUCAAUUGAUCCUUACACAGAGAUUGCCUAAGAACAUCAGAAAGCAAAGAUAUUUACACUACAAUUCAUAAUGUAGCAAAAUGACAGUUAUGAAGGAGCAAUGAAAAUAAUGUUCUGGUUGGGGGUCACCAUAAUAUGAGGAGCUGUAUUAAGAGGUCACAGCAUUAGGAAGGUUGAGAACCACUACUGAAGAAAGGGUUGAUUUUGGCUUAGGGUUCCAAAACUGGUAGAGUCCAACAUGAUGGCUGAAGCAUCACAAAAGUCAAGGAAAGCAUGGUGGUGGGAGCAAGAAUCUUGGGAACCCCAUUUUUAUCCAUACAAAGGGAGAAGAGAGAACAGAAAAUGGGGUGAGGUUAUAAACCCUCAAGGUCCAUCCCCAUAUUGUACUUCCUCUUUCAAGGCUCCAUCUCAUAAAGGUUCCGUAACCUGCUCGAACAGUACGAGUUACCACCUAGGUAGUAUGAGAACCACCAAGGACUAAGUGUUCAAAUGCAAGAACCCAUGAUAGACAUCUCUCAUUUGAACUACAAACAAACAAACAUACAAAUCCACAAAAAACAAAAGCAAAAAAAAAAAAAAAAAAAACCAACCCAAAAAAAGACUUUUCUUUGAGAUGGCCUCAUCAACUGGCAAGUUUGUGGACACUAAUCAUACUGGAUGAGGUUUUUUUCCAUCUUGAUUUUGUGUCUUGAGUGCUUGCAAGGGUAUAGAGAGCAACGUUUGUUUUCCUGCUUGCUGGGCAGCCUAUACUUCUGGGUCUGUCCUUUAAAAUGGCCAGUUAUCAGUUUAAGGACUGAGAAUUCACUUGUGGUUGGCCAGUGUGGUUCAACUUCACUGUCAAUUUGACUGUAUUGGAAAUGCCCAGGGUAUUAGUGAGACACAUGCUCUCUUGUUUGUCAUCCUGAGGACUUUUCCAGGAACGGAUUAACUGAAGCAGUAACACUUGCCCAGAUGUACAUGGCACCAUCCCAUUGGCUAGGAUACUGGAUUGGACCAGAGGGUAAAAGAGGAAGGUCAUCGGAUCACAGGAACUCAUGCUUCUGUUCCAGACUCAUCUACAAAUGAGCAACUACCCACGUAUUACUGUCCGAAUGCAUUCCUCACCCCAGUGGGCUGUAACUUCAGACUACGAGCCAAAAUAACCUGUUCCUUUGUCAAGUUGCUUCUUGGCAGGUGUUUGAUGACAGACUUUAUGAAAGUAAUAUAGGCGGACAGAAACACAGGUAUCCAGGGCACCCCUAUUUGCAGCUGGCAUCCUGUUACCCUUUACCAACUUCCUGGGCCUUCAUCUAAAUUUAAGUCUUGCAGCUACCAAGGUCCUUGCAUCUUUCCUAUGCCUUUGCUGGCUGCCUGGUAUAACAUGGAUCCUUGCGUCUUUCUCCUCAUCUGAGAGUGACGUUGGAUCAUGGCGAUGCAUAUUAUACAUCUUUUUGGAAGAUGUGACUUGUAUCGUGUGGAAGCCAUAAAAAAGGGUAUUGAUUUGAAUUUCAUUUAGUAUGACUGUACUCUCUGAAACUGGGUGAGAAUUCAUUCUUCUUUUAAAUUUUCUUCCUGUUUUUUUUUUUGUUUGUUUGUUUGUUUUAAGACUCUUUGCUCUCCCUCCUCGACCUUGCACUGGCAUGGGAACUUCUCAGUAAGCUGAAACCUGUCCCCAACUUUUCCUUUUCAAUGUCUGGGUGAUGGUAAGCUCUGUCUGUGCAUGCAAAGAUGGUCUCUCUUUUCUUGCUGGCUUGCCUUUACUAGGGAUAAAUUAGAGCUUCAGGUAAGACCUUCUGGCCUGCUUUGAUAAAACCUUCUCUUCUGGUUUCAGCCUGCAGUUACUGGAACUGUGGCUUCUAAUCCUUUUCUAGGGCUUGGGACUGUCGAUGGGUUGGGAGUGGGGCAUGUCCUGUGGGACUCAGAAACCACAGAAAAACCACCUAAGACUGGAGAGGCUGAGAAAUAGACUGGAUGUUGAAUGCCCUCAGCCAGGAUUUGAAGACAUCCAUUUUUCCUGACCCCUUGGUCUCUUCACCAAAAUUUAGUUGACUGUACCUGUAAUAGUAUACACAGGAACAAACAAAACCUUAAAAGACUAUUUCAUUAGUAUUGGAACAAAAACUUUAGGCCCUAAAUUGAGCAGGUGACAAUUUCUUCCAUCUGCCUGAAAUGUAUUCUGGAUAAAAAUAUACAUAGACAAAGGACACACACACGAGUUAUGUAUUCUUGCAUUUAUGCUUGAUGUAGUGCUAAAAUUUUGGAACGAAAGUCAUAAUAAUUUGAAAUUGAUUCCAUCUGUGGCCAUAUAUAUGAUAUUUUCUGUCUUCUGAAUGGUUUUAUUAAACUCAACUUUAAUUGGCUGAGGGAGAAGCAAGUGCUUAUAUAGAUUAUCUAUUCUUCUUUUGUUUGUUUUUGUUUUUGUUUUUUGAGACAGAGUUUCUCUGUGCAGCUCUGACUGUCCUAGAACUAUGUAGACUAGUCUAGUCCCAAAAUUAAAGACCUGCCUGCCUGGGUUAACUAUUCUUAAAAUUUCCAUAAACAGGGGCUGGAGAGAUGGCCCUGUGAUUAAGAAUUGUUGCUGCUCUGUGGUGAGGAUGAGAAUUUGGAUCCCAGCCCCCAAACUGAGCUGCUCACAAACACCUGCAGCACCAGCUCCGAGGGAACUGAUGUGCCUUCUGGCCUACACAGAGGAGAGACAUCCAUUUCUUUUCCUGCAAAGGACUUGACUUUGUUCUUCUUGAUGGCUGAGUGAAAUUCCCUUGUGUGGAUAUAUCACAUCUCUCAAUUAUUUCUCUGCUGAUGGACAUCCAGUCUGCUUUAUAACUUAUUGUGAACAGCGCUGCAGUGAACAUUGAUCAGCAAGUAUUCCUGUGAUACAAUGACAAGGAAAUACCCAGGAGUCACGGCACUAGAUCAUAAGACCUGGGACUGCAAGUCUAUACCACAAUACCUGGCACUUUUGUUUUUUAACGUGGAUUCUGGGGAUCAAACUCAAGUUCUGCUGACUGCAAGUCAAGCACUCUGCUGACUGAGCCAUCUCGAUAGCUGCCAGUGUCCUUUCUUAAGAAAAGGACACUAAAUGUUAGUAACUGCAAUCGUGUACAUAAAAUUAUGAAAACAGUGAAGACGAAUGUGAAUAUUCUACACAUCAGGUAGGCAGGCCAUGUAGGAGGUUCUUUGCUAAGAGUAAAAGAAAGGAAGAUUAUCUUUUCAAAAAUAAAACAACACUGAAUGGGGUGGAGAGUACAGAAAAAAAUCUGAACAGAUACAGAAAAUUGGAAGAGGUUUGUGAGAAAGAGAGAUAAUCCUUUAAGGUCAUGUUGGCUAAGAUUUGGACAAAAAAAAACCAGACUUCUCUUUUCUCUCUGUCUGUGUUAAAAAAGACAUAUUCUUGGACUAUUUUGUUAUUUCCCAAAUAAAUUACUAGGCGAGUUGCUUUAUUUUAAAUAAAUUGGACAUAAGAUAAAGAUUCUUUUAUCAGAAUAUUUAUUUUCCAGUGUUUUUAAUCAUGUCUUUUGCUACUUAGGAAAAUUUCUUUCAGUAUUACUUUUAAAAGGCAGUGUGUAUAGAAAUACUCCCUCUUCCAGCCUCUUCUCUCUUCCUUUGCCACUUGGUUAGAUGCCCAAGCAUUGUUUUAUGGUACUCUGUGAGCCUAUUUAAUUGUGUGCAAAUUUUUGAUAUGUUUUUUUUUCAACUCUAGAUCUUUUGCUUUCCCAGAAUCAAAUCCUGAACACAAUGCUGUUUGAAAACUGCCUAUGAGAUUUUCCAGAGGACCCCUGGAAAAUCUUGUGUUCUUUCUUUCUCUUUGUGAACAAUAAAGGUACUCAAAUCAUUAGGUUUCUGCAAUCGGUUAAGUUGAAUGGGAAGCAUGGUUGCAUAAGAAGCCACAGGUAACUUCUCAGCUGCAUGUGAGCAUGUUACUGACGACUGGUAAAGGCACAUGAGCCCCUAGAAGUCUGUCAGCAUCACCACAUAUGCCCCACUUAGAGUGUCAAUCAUAAUUCUGGUUGUCUUAAAAUAUGUGACAUGGAAAUAUAUUACUCAAAUUCCUCAUCAAUUAUCCCACUUUAAUAAAUUCCCAUUCUAUCUAUAGCUACAGUUAUUUUAAAUAUCACGUUAUCUACAGGUAGUUGUGUGUAUGCCUUCUUUAAGGCUCUGGCAAUCAGCUCUAAGCUGAGAUGAUUCAUCUCUAAGGAAAGAGACAGUCUCCAAGAUCUGCUCCUAAAAAUAAAGCUGCUACUUUGUGUGAUCUAAAACUAUAGAAAUAGAAGCACACCAAGCAAUUCUGUGGCUUUCUUUUUUUCACAAACAUUUCCUCCUAAAUAUUUAUGUUGUUUCAUGUAUCUUAAAUUUCUUCUCUUAAGUGCUGUCAAUAAUGCUACCUUUUUAUUUUAUAAACAGUUUUUUUCCAAAUGUAUCUUCAAAAAAAUCAUUGUAUUGUUUUUGAUGAACUGAAGUUUAGCUAAUAGUUUGUUUUCUUUAAGAUAUAUAUAUAUUUUUAAGAGAUAUAUUGUUAAAGAGCUCUUUCCCCUGAUGUCAUAAAUCAGCUCUUCUAUGUAUGUCCUUAGAAUGUACCCCUAUAUUAUUCUCAGGGCAAUCUUUAUUUACUAGUUGGGUUUUGAAGAUGUGACUUGGUGAUAACUCUUCUUGUGGCAGAUUACUUAAAUUUCUUACUAUUCCUCAGGUCACAUGGAGCCUUCCAGGCAUGGUUUAUUUCAGGAUAUAGAUUGUUUUAUAUUCCUCAAAAAAAAAAAAUGAUUUCUAAGCCUGCAGGCCUGAUGACUUGAGUUUGAUCCCUGAGAUACUCAUGCUGUGAUGAACUGGUUCCCCAGAAGCUGUUCUCUGAUCUCCACACGUGUGUUAUGACAUACUGGCAGACAUUUGCACACAGAGGAAAACCAAAGCUUAGCAAAUGGUUUAUACAGUUUCAUUAUAAAACUUUUGCACAUUUAGGAAAAUUUAUUCCUAAGUACUCUUUUAUCCUAUUGAAAUUAUCCUUCGAUACAUACAUAUAUAUAUAUAUAUAUAUAUAUAUACACACACACAUAUAUAUCUCACAUAUAUGGUAUAUAUGUAUAUAUAUCAAUAUAUAUCACAUAUAUGGUAUACAAAUGCAUCACAUACAUGUUUACAAUGUUCAAGAUGUAAUGUCAUGUCAGUGUAAGUUCAUUUUGCAUUUUACGCAUCAACUAAGCUUCGUUAUAGUCCAUCAAUGAUUUGAUUUUAAUUUAAUUUUGUUGCUUUAAUCCUCUGGUGAUGACAAACACAGUCUUCAACUGACAUGAUCAUAGAGGAAAUGCUUUCUUUGGAAGCGAGCAUGAAAGAAAUUUUGUUGUUGUUGUUGUGACUUCUUUGUUUUGUUUCUCGGGGAUGGAGGUGAGGGAGCACAGAAUGCCGUUCAUCAGGUUAAGUAGCUAAUUCUAUUUCUAAUUUUCUGAUAAUCUUUUUUUUUUCCUUUGAACAAUGAAGAUAGUGAAUUUUAUCAGCUAUGGAGAUCGUGGUUGUUGCUGCUGUAAAAUUCAUUGCUGUGAUGAAUUAUUUUAAUCUAUUUUCUAAUGUUAACAAUCUGUGCUUUCCUGGGGUAAACCGGAUAGUCAGUGUGCAUUGGCUCUAGUUCACAUCAUUGGGGUCGGUCAUGCGAUAUCGUAUUGAGAACUUUUCUAAUACUAUCUGUGUUGUAUUUUAGCAAGAAUAUUUAAUAGCCUCAUAAAUAAAAUUGAAAUUUGUUUAUCUCCA